GUGGGGUAAUGGCCUACCAAGGCAUCGACGGGUAGCUGGUCUGAGAGGAUGAUCAGCCACACUGGGACUGAGACACGGCCCAGACUCCUACGGGAGGCAGCAGUGGGGAAUCUUGCACAAUGGGCGAAAGCCUGAUGCAGCAACGCCGCGUGCGGGAAGAAGGCCCUCGGGUUGUAAACCGCUUUCAGAAGGAACGAAACUGACGGUACUUUCAGAAGAAGGUGCGGCCAACUACGUGCCAGCAGCCGCGGUGACACGUAGGCACCAAGCGUUGUCCGGAUUUAUUGGGCGUAAAGAGCUCGUAGGCGGUUCAGUAAGUCGGGUGUGAAAACUUUGGGCUUAACCCAAAGCGUGCAUCCGAUACUGCUGUGACUUGAGUACGGUAGGGGAGCGGGGAAUUCCUAGUGUAGCGGUGAAAUGCGCAGAUAUUAGGAGGAACACCGGUGGCGAAGGCGGUUCUCUGGGCAUUACCUGACGCUGAGGAGCGAAAGCAUGGGGAGCGAACAGGAUUAGAUACCCUGGUAGUCCAUGCCGUAAACGUUGGGCGCUAGGUGUGGGGACCUUCCACGGUCUCCGUGCCGCAGCUAACGCAUUAAGCG
rnacentral:rRNA from 1 species